UUCACCAGGAACUUGGUUUGUAGUUGUCU
rnacentral:piRNA from 1 species